UUAAGGAGGUAAGCAGAUAGCCCGCGUUGCGUACUGAUUUAAUGUUGCACUGUCCAAUGUGGAUGCACUAUCCAAUGUUAUUAUUUUGCUGAAUCUGACGGUAGAAUAAAUCAUAUAGGGUUAACAGAAGAUGGGAGAUUCAGAGGUAUUGCUUGUUAGGUUUCAUUUCAAUGGGGAAUUUGUUGUUGAUGGAACCUUGGUGGAAUAUUGCAAUGGGGAUUAUGGAGUUUCACACAUAGAUAAGGAUAAAUUGUCGAUCCCAGAGCUUGAAGGGCAUCUACCGGAUCUCACAACCUUUAGAAGGACUGUUCGGAUGUUUUGGUUGCCACUUGGUGCACCACUGAAUUCUGGAAUGAGGAUGCUUGUAGAUGAUAAGUCAUGCCUUGACAUGCUUGAUGCAGUAGGGUCAUAUGGGGCUCUAGACAUUUACACUGAAUUAAUUGAUGUGGACUUGGCUGCAAUGAGUGAAUCAGAUGGUGGUGUGUUUGACCAAUCUGCAGAAUAUGAAAACAUGUUGCGUUUGGAUGCUCCUGCCACACAUGAGGUUGCACAGGAUGGUACACAAGUUGAAGAAGAAGAGGUAGAUACUAAAUAUGUUGUCAUCGGAUUUACAUCUGAUGAGGAUGAUGAAGCAAUGGAGAUAAGAACUAACUACAAAGCAUAUAUGUCUGAAAGGAAUAAGAGAUAAGGCAUACCAUUGGACAGCCCAAACUCAAUGGAUCCUCCAACAGGGAAUGACACUAACAGGGACAGUGUCAUUGAUGAGGAUGAUUUUGGAGAUGGAAUUGCAUAUUUUGAGUCAGAUGAAGAUGUAUCCUACGAUGAUGACAGUGACACAGAUGCCAAGAGAAGGAAGUGCAGGUUCGCAAUAUUUGAUAGCCGUGCGGAGACACCUCAGUUUGGCUUAGACAUGUACUUAGAGGCAAGAAGGAAUUAAAGGAUGCAAUAGAAAAGGUAUGCUCUGAAAAAGAAGGUAAAUAUUAAGUUUCCUAAGAAUGACAAGUAGAGGUUGAGGGCUGUUUGCUCAUGGAAAUGUUGUCCUUGGGUAUUGCAUGCUUCAUACAACUCGAAAAGUGAUUGGUUUCAGAUUGUGACAUACAAUCCCACCCAUUCAUGUUGCCCAGUUUUAAAAAACAAGAAGUUAUCUACAGCUAGAAUAUGUGACAAAUAUGAGAGUACUAUCAAGGCUAACCCAGCAUGGAAGGCUAGAGCAAUGAAGGAGACUAUACAAGAAGACAUGGGUGUGGAGGUUUCUUUGACAAUGGUGAAAAGAGCAAAAGUGAAAGUUAUCAGAAAGGUAAUGGAUGCUCGAAGUGGUGAGUAUUCUAGGUUGUUUGACUAUGCUCUUGAGCUGAAGCGUAGUAAUCCUGGAAGUAGUGUGCACAUUGCCCUGGAUCCUGAAGAAGAGGAACAUGUGUUCCAUAGAAUUUAUAUUUGCUUAGAUGCUUGUCGAAGGGGUUUCUUAGAUGGAUGCAGGAGGGUGAUAGGGUUUGAUGGUUGUUUUCUAAAGGGUCCUAUGAAGGGAGAACUAUUGUCAGCUAUUGGAAGAGAUGCAAACAAUCAGAUUGGUGAAGAAGAUGCCUGGUCGGCCACAAACAAAAAGGAGACAGGAUCCUUCAGAACGAGUGAACUCUAGUCAUAAGUCAUCCAGAGUUGGAGUUAAGAUUAGAUGCCGACAUUGCCAAGGCACUGGACACAACUCUAAGACAUGCUCCGUGAAACUAGUGUUUAUACAAUUCAUCUAUUUAAGAUUUAUGUUUACACAUUUUUAGCACGCCUUUCUUUUUCACAAUAAGAGUGACAUGCCUCUGACUGUUCUCCUUAACUGUGCAGCAGAAAAACUCGACAACCAGCAACAAUCCUGGUCAUUCUCAUGGAUCAUCUUCUAUCCACAACAAUAAUGCUCCAUUGUCCAUUGAACCAGCAACAUCUAAAGGGAAGGAGCCAGCUACAACUUCGGGCACAAAAUCAACUAAGAGAAAGGAUUUUGAGGGCUAUGGAUUGUAUUACAGUGAACGCACUGGUGCAUCAUAUAUUCAGACUGGGAAGAAAAGUAGAUUGGUGUCCUUUGGCACUUCUAACUCUAAAGCUAAAGCUUCUGCUGUUGGGAAUGCCUCUGUUGUCAUUGAGACAAGUGCUGGGCAUCCCACCUCAUCUGCACGAGCAACGAUCAAUGUUACAGGCAGCCGUACAACUGCAAAGAUCCAGUCUACUUCGCCUACACAAGGUCAACAGAAAAAGGCAGCAUAGCAUCUUGUAUCAUCUGAGAAGAUCAUGUAAUGGCUUAUGUGCUAUGGCUUUCAGUUUGUAAGCACCCAGUUUGUAAUGGUUUUAGUUUGAACCUGAGACAUUUUCUUCUAUCAUCUGCUACUUUGUUUGAACAAGAGACAUUGAGUCAAAUAUUGCCUGCUGAAAUGCCAUGAUCAAAACUGAGGAAAUUUUUCAGCGACAAUUCAUUGCAUUUAUCAAUAUUACAUUCAUGGAUUGCCAUCCCCUACAUGCCUACAACAGCAGCCAAAAGGCCACAUGCCAUUACAACACAAAAACACAACAAGAUUCCUAUAAACCUACGUUGCUCACUAACAAUGGCUUUCAGUUUGUGAUUUUCUUAUCGUGCCUCUUGUCUGAAACCAAGCAGUUCAUCCCAUUGCCCAUGAAAAUGUCGUAGAAUCUGUGACAAGCUUGCAUUCAUAGACACCAUGUCCUGAAUCACUCGAUUUGCUCUUCCAGAAAAUUCUGGGUCAAUCCAGUACUUGAAAUCGCAAGGAUUCUCCACAUUUGCGCAUUGCAAGAACCUUCUCCCUGCAUCCACACCUGACCAUCCGCAAGCCAAAUUUGGGUACUGUCCAUGGCGGCAGGUAAUCCCCGUCCGGACCACCAUUCCUUCUCUGUGUUCUUCGAGCAAGGAUUCGAGCUGCAAAAAACAAAAGAAUUCGUCAGGAAAUCAAAGCAGGAAAGGAAUCGAUUUGAACCACAAAAUAGCCAUGGAAGCCUCACCUCCAUCUCUCCACGCCUGUGAUCUGAUUCCUCAUCGUGGCUUGUUCUUCCCUCUCUCCCCAGCCUCUGCCUGCUGCCACGCACCAUCAGCAACACAAGGAGACCGACGGGACGAGCUCUGGGGCGGCUGCAGCGACCACAACGGCGGGAGGAGCUCUGGGAGGCGAGCACAGCGGUGGGAGGAAAUCAGGGGGGCGAGCAGAGCGGCGACCAGAGCUGUGGGAGGGAGCAGUGGGAGGAACGACGACCAGAGCAGUGGGAGGGAGCGGCAGGGGUAGCUUUGGCCCCUGCCGAGGCGCUGCCGACGAAGGAGGACUGGACUGCGUCAGCGCUGGCGCCGAAGGGGCGACGAAGGGGAUGCGUCGAUGAAGGGGAUGCGAGCGGAUGGGGCUGGGGCUGGAAAAAAAAUGGGGGCAAUUUGGUCCUUUCACAUGUCCUGUUGCCGCUAAAUUGACAAUGUGGACGGAAAAACGGACGGAAGGUCGAAAUGGACCCCAAAUCCAAAAGUUCAGGGACUAAUUUGGCCUGCGGGAAAUUACGGGGACGAAGUUGACCCUUUCCCAAGAGUUCAGGGAUGUCUUUGCCUAUUUUGCC